UCAUGGCUCAGAACGAACGCUGGCGGCAAGCCUAACACAUGCAAGUCGAACGGACAAUUAUUUAUAGCUUUUGGCUAUAGGCAAUUGUUAGUGGCAGACGGGUGAGUAAUGCGUAGGAAUCUACCUAGUAGUACGGAAUAGCCAUUAGAAAUGAUGGGUAAUACUGUAUAAUCCCCGCGGGGGAAAGAUUUAUCGCUAUUAGAUGAGCCUACGUUAGAUUAGCUAGUUGGUAAGGUAAUGGCUUACCAAGGCUAUGAUCUAUAGCUGGUCUGAGAGGACGAUCAGCCACACUGGAACUGAGAUACGGUCCAGACUCCUACGGGAGGCAGCAGUGGGGAAUAUUGGACAAUGGGCGAAAGCCUGAUCCAGCUAUGCCGCGUGAGUGAAGAAGGCCUUCGGGUUGUAAAACUCUUUCAAUAGGGAAGAUAAUGACGGUACCUAUAGAAGAAGUCCCG
rnacentral:rRNA from 1 species